rnacentral:lncRNA from 1 species
GGCCCCAGAGUGCUCUUGAAAUAAAAGUCCUCUUGCAGUUUGCAGCAAGACCUUUUCUCGUGAGUGCUUUGGAGUGUCGCCUCUCCUGAGUCAGAACGUGGGGGAGUCUUCACGUUGUGGGUCUUUCAUUUGGUGCAUUGGCCAGGAAAUGUGACCACCCUCACACCUGAGAACCCACUUGGAGUUGUGAAGAGCAUCUGCAGCAGCUGCUGACAAUCAUCCCAAAUAGGCUGAUGAGUCCAUCAGGAAUCUGCUCUGCGGCUCCAUGUAACCUCAGCGGUCUGCCUCCCGCUGACCGGACAGGCAAAAGAAUCAGACGAUUUCCAAGGGGGAAGCAUCCGCUUCAACAACAGAACUCAGUCCCUCUGACCGAUCUCCGGAGACUAACAGGCAUCCCUCCCUGGCUCUCCACACUUUCCAGGGCAUCCCC